AAAACUUUCAACAACGGAUCUCUUGGUUCUGGCAUCGAUGAAGAACGCAGCGAAAUGCGAUACGUAAUGUGAAUUGCAGAAUUCAGUGAAUCAUCGAAUCUUUGAACGCACAUUGCGCUCCCUGGUAUUCCGGGGAGCAUGCCUGUUCGAGCGUCAUUA
rnacentral:rRNA from 3 species